CACUGCUAUCGGGGUUCGAUUAAGCCAUGCGAGUCGAGAGGGUUCAGACCCUCGGCGCACUGCUCAGUAACACGUGGAUAACCUACCCUGAGGAGGGGGAUAACCCCGGGAAACUGGGGAUAAUACCUCAUAGGUUUCAGAUGCUGGAAUGCUCUGAAACCGAAAUGCUCCGGCGCCUCAGGAUGGAUCUGCGGCCGAUUAGGUUGUUGUUGGGGUAACGGCCCAACAAGCCCGUCAUCGGUACGGGUUGUGAGAGCAAGAGCCCGGAGAUGGAUUCUGAGACACCAAUCCAGGCCCUACGGGGCGCAGCAGGCGCGAAACCUUUACAAUGCGAGCAAUCGUGAUAAGGGAACCCCGAGUGCCUGAAACCAGGCUGUUCAGGUGUUUAAAAAGCACCUGGAGAAAGGGCCGGGCAAGACCGGUGCCAGCCGCCGCGGUAAUACCGGCGGCUCGAGUGGUGGCCGCUAUUAUUGGGCUUAAAGCGUUCGUAGCUGGGUUGUUAAGUCUCUUGGGAAAUCUCACGGCUCAACCGUGAGGCGACUAAGAGAUACUGGCAAUCUUG
rnacentral:rRNA from 1 species